AUGUUUUCAUACUCUGGUGGAAGAUGGGCAGGGACUACUGUCCAACAGCAAGCCAUGUGCUAUGUCACUAUGGAACAGGUUUAUAAUAAGGAGUGGAGCUAUGUCACUAUGGAACAGGUUUAUAAUAAAGAGUGGGGCUAUGUCACUAUGGAACAGGUUUAUAAUAAGGAGUGGAGCUAUGUCACUAUGGAACAGGUUUAUAAUAAGGAGUGGGGCUAUGUCACUAUGGAACAGGUUUAUAAUAAAGAGUGGGGCUAUGUCACUAUGGAACAGGUUUAUAAUAAGGAGUGGAGCUAUGUCACUAUGGAACAGGUUUAUAAUAAGGAGUGGGGCUAUGUCACUAUGGAACAGGUUUAUAAUAAGGAGUGGGGCUAUGUCACUAUGGAACAGGUUUAUAAUAAGGAGUGGGGCUAUGUCACUUUGGAGCAGGUAGUGCAAUGUUGUAAUUGUGUCACCGAGUUGAAAAAGGAUCCCAAUAGUGGGAUGAAGAAGCAAGGUGUAGCGGGUACAGAACAGGAACAGCAAGGUGUAGCGGGUACAGAACAGGAACAGCAAGGUGUAGCGGGUACAGAACAGGAACAGCAAGGUGUAGCGGGUACAGAACAGGAACAGCAAGGUGUAGCGGGNNNNNNNNNNNNNNNNNNNNNNNNNNNNNNNNNNNNNNNNNNNNNNNNNNNNNNNNNNNNNNNNNNNNNNNNNNNNNNNNNNNNNNGAGGGCAGGCUGGGCUCACGGAUAGUAGCCCAACAAGGCAUGGGAGACAAGGUAACCAGAGGGCAGGCUGGGCUCACGGAUAGUAGCCCAACAAGGCAUGGGAGACAAGGUAACCAGAGGGCAGGCUGGGCUCACGGAUAGUAGCCCAACAAGGCAUGGGAGACAAGGUAACCAGAGGGCAGGCUGGGCUCACGGAUAGUAGCCCAACAAGGCAUGGGAGACAAGGUAACCAGAGGGCAGGCUGGGCUCACGGAUAGUAGCCCAACAAGGCAUGGGAGACAAGGUAACCAGAGGCAAUUAAGCACAGCUGACGGUACGAAUGACAUAUUCUCCUUCCCCUAUAAGAGAGAGAAUGGAACCAGCAGAGAGGGGGGGAAAACUAUCUCUGGAAGAUGGCCACCGAGAGAGAGGAGCUAUCCAGGAAGAACCACUAAGACGGUGACAAUCCCGUGACUUUUGUUGUAGUUUAAAGAUAAUCCUAUUGUGUUCCUGUUUCAUCUGGAGAAGAAGAUGUAUGUUUUUCCUUUGAAUAUUUUCGUUGAUUAUGUUGGAGUGUUUGUGUUGACCAAAUGCCCUCAAUAGAGAACUGUGUUCAAUCAAGAAAACCUACUCCUGACUCGUUUAUUCCACCUUCCAGCUUUAGAGUGACGCCCAAUUACUUGGUCCGCUCACAGUAUAUUCAAUGUUGCUUUUUGUUUGACCGCUAGGUUUUAUGUCUCAUAAUGUGGUGCUCAUAGAAUCUCUGUGGGCCUAGGUCAAAUCAAAUCAAAUGUAUUUAUAUAGCCCUUCAGCUGAUAUCUCAAAGUGCUGUACAGAAACCCAGCCUAAAACUCCAAACAGCAAGCAAUGCAGGUGUAGAAGCACGGUCGCUCGGUGUAAAGAUUUGUCAUUUAACUUUUAUUGUGGCAUAAACAUAACCAGUCAUGAUGUUUUCACCCAAUUGCCAAAUAAUUACUUCAAAAGGACCCUUUACGAGGCGACCCUCACACGUUCAUCCACUUGAGACAUAUUUCCAGCAUCCGAACAGGAGUGAAUGGAAAGAAAUAUGUAACCCAAAACACCCCAAAGUGUAAUGACAUUUGUCAUUAGGCCAGAAUGUCCUCGUCCGCUGCUGUCCGCGUGCGUCUCGGUCACUCAUCUCUGCCGUGGCAAAAUGCCUGUUUUCUCCAUUGGAAACACAACGCAUUUUGGAAUGUAGGCUAUAUCACAUGCUUUCAAGUAGACUAUAUCACCUGUUUCCAAGUAGGCUAUAUCACCUGUUUCCAAGUAGGCUAUAUCACCUGUUUCCAAGUAGGCUAUAUCACAUGCUUUCAAGUAGACUAUAUCACCCAUUUCCAAGUAGACUAUAUCACCCAUUUCCAA
rnacentral:lncRNA from 13 species